ACUGUAUAUUUGGUUACUAAAGUGCUACUCAUCUGUAGGCUCAUACAUUAUGACCCAGUACGGGGUCAUGGAGUGUAUUUUGCCUAGUUAAUAUUUGUUACAUUUAUUUCACUGUUUGGCAUUGAACACAGACCCGACAGCAGGAUUCUAUCUUUCUUCUUUUCUUUCUUCUCUUUUGCCUAUUAAUAUCAUCACAGCAGCUCGGAUCCACAUAAACUUUGGCUCUUUUAAUAGCUGCCAUUUCUUUUAUGUUUUUACUUUGACGUUAUUUUCCAGAAACUGUAAUAAUUGAAAAAAAAAAAGAAAAAGAAAGAAAACUCUGCCGGGGAAACCAAAAAAAUUGGCAAUUGUUUUCAUGUGACACAGCAGAGAGGGUGAGCCGUAAGCAAUCCUUAAGUGUUUUCAUGUCAGCUUACAGAUUCUGUGAAGAGACGCCACAGCAAACUGUGAAUGGGCGGAGAACAGCAAGGACUCCAGCUUUGACCUGAGGGGAAAAGCACAAUCCUGCCAAGAAUACAAAGAGUGCAGGAUGACAACGACUAUGCUGACCAAUCCCACAUUAAAAGCAUCAGCCUGCUUGCAUGGAUGGAAAAUGGAUUGCCUCUGUGAGAUCAAAACUCCAGUCUCCUGAUGCAAGAGAAAAAGGAAAUGACAUCAUCGAGAGGAUCUGUGGACCCUCAUUACUGUGUCGAGGAAAUAAACAGAGGCUUGUUGCGGCUGCGUUAUCACUCCCUGUCUGUUUGGAGCACAACCAAAAGCUACAAAUCUGCAGAGCUGCCCAGUGGCGGGCGAGCAUGAAAUAACUCAUCAGGUUACGAGUCAUUUUCAAGGGGUGACUGAGUAAAGGUGGCUGUAUUAAGUGUGAAAGGAAUCAGGGCCAAGAGCGCAAUCACUCUCUGAUUGGACUGAUCUGAUUUUUCCUCCGCAAGUGGGGAAAAAAACAUUCUGCAUUUCUGAAGCAGCAUGUCAUUCACCGAAUGAGCAGAACUGCCUUCAAAAUAGGCAAAUCUAACAUAAGAAUGGUGGCAAGACUUUACCAAGUAAGGUAAGCUCCAGUAGUAGUUCAUUUUUAAGUCGGCAUGAAAUGGGAAUUCUGCCUACCUAUUUCCUAAAUGAAUUUUAUUGAAAAUGUUAUAACUCUGUCUUUUGGUGCCAGGGUUUUCAUUUAAUCAUUUAGUCUGCAUAAACUCCACUCUUUUGUUACAAGUGACUGCAUGCUCAUGUUCAAAACUGCCUCCAUCCAAUCAACCACUGGUGAAUAAAAUAAAGUCCUCACCACA
ensembl:lncRNA